rnacentral:rRNA from 1 species
AGUUUGAUCCUGGCUCAGAACGAACGCUGGCGGCGUGUCUUAAGCAUGCAAGUCGGGCGGCAAGGCGGGGCAACCCGCCCUAGAGCGGCGGACUGGUGAGUAACACGUGGGUGAUCUACCCUUGGUUUGGGGAUAGCCUGUGGAAACAUGGGGUAAUACCGAAUACGUCGUCAUGGCUGCGGCCAUGACGGGAAAGGCGCUAAGGCGCCGACCGAGGAUGAGCCCGCGCCCCAUUAGCUAGUUGGUGAGGUAACGGCCCACCAAGGCGAUGAUGGGUAGCCGGCCUGAGAGGGUGUACGGCCACACUGGGACUGAGAUACGGCCCAGACUCCUACGGGAGGCAGCAGCUAAGAAUAUUCCGCAAUGGACGAAAGUCUGACGGAGCGACGCCGCGUGGAUGAUGAAGGCCGAAAGGUUGUAAAAUCCUUUUGUCGGGGAAGAAUAAGCAUGGGAGGGAAUGCCCGUGUGAUGACAUGAACCGGCGAAUAAGCCCCGGCUAACUACGUGCCAGCAGCCGCGGUAACACGUAGGGGGCGAGCGUUGUUCGGAAUUACUGGGCGUAAAGGGCAUGUAGGCGGUUUUGUAAGCCUGGCGUGAAAUUCUGCAGCUUAACUGUAGGACUGCGCUGGGAACUGCGAGACUGGAGUCACGGAGAGGGAGCCAGAAUUCCAGGUGUAGGGGUGAAAUCUGUAGAUAUCUGGAAGAAUACCAAUGGCGAAGGCAGGCUUCUGGCCGAUGACUGACGCUGAGGUGCGAAAGCGUGGGUAGCAAACAGGAUUAGAUACCCUGGUAGUCCACGCGGUAAACGAUGCACACUAGGUGCCGGGGCGGACGCUUCGGUGCCGGAGCCAACGUGGUAAGUGUGCCGCCUGGGGAGUAUGCUCGCAAGGGUGAAACUCAAAGGAAUUGACGGGGGCCCG